GUUUGAUUUCUUGUGCGAUGCCGUUCCGGGAAGAACUGCUUGGCGAUUCAAGGUUACGGUCGCUGGGAUAUGGGAAGUAACUGGUUUGAUUUCCUUUUCUUCAAUUCUGCUUUUUCAUUUAUAGUUGUUCUGACUUUGUACCUAUUGCUUCUUGUUUGGUUGAUUGGCUUGGACUGCAUCAUCAAGGGUUUGAUUUUGUUUGUUUGUUUGUUUGUUUGUUUCAUUUCAAGGUUUGAACUUGUUUCUUGUUUUAUUUGUUAUCCUAUAUUGUAUAUUUGGUGUAUUGUUUCUUUUUCAUCUAACAAUGGAGCUAUUUUUGGAACUGUAUAAAGGUAUGUAUGCAUUUUCAUUGAUUUAAAUCAAAAUUUGCUAUUUGGCUGUUAGUGCUUAUUGGUUUCUAUUAUCUUGCCUUUAUUUUCGGUUUGGUGGGUGAGGUUUUUGUUUCCUGGAUUUUAUUCCUCUGUUAGAUGCCCCUUUCCUUGUAUCUUCCUCUUUGGUACUUUUUGUAUUGUGUUGGAAAUUAAUAAAGUUUUCUAUUUAAAAAAAAAAAACUUUUUUUUUUAUUCAACCUUUUGUUUAGUUACAUGUUGUGUUGUAUUUGAUGUUUGUGAACUCAAGUUUUUUUUUUUUUUUUCACACUACAUGGUGUGGUUUCAGCACCAAAAUUUGCUUCUAUGUGUUUGUCAUUAAUGGAUGUUUUUCCUUUGAAUAGAUGGUAAUUAGCUGCCUUUGGCAUUAUGUCCUGCCUCAUACUCAAGUUCAAGGUGCCUAUAUUAUUUAUUUUGGAGUGUCCUUUGCUUGGUUGAUCUUUCUUACUUUUCAUUCGUUUUUGUAUAUUUUGAUUGUUUGCAGCUUCCAUGGUUACUUUACUGAUCAGUGCUAAAAAUGUCCAAGUGGUUAUAGUGGCAAUAUGUUAAUUUUGAUGGAAAUUGAUGAACUAGUGUGUUUUGAUUAUGAAGUUAUGUGUUUUAUCAGAUUUUGUGUAAAAUGAGUGUAUGUGAUUUACUUGAUGGAUGUGUUUGGGAUGAUUUUGAUUCAAUGUGACAUGUUUUGGAAAGAUUGUGAGAAGGAUAUGAGUUUAAGCAUUUUGAGUUUGAGAAUGUUUUGGUGUUUUUGAGUACUAAAAAAUUUGCAAUACACUGGCUGGGCAGGCGAUAUUUUCUUCAGGCAGGCGAAAAUAACAGUUCUGGUUUUUUCUUGACAUAUCUGCUAAAAUCUGCCUGCCCAUAUAUCUGUACUGGCUGGCAUUUUACUUUGCUGAGCAAACGUGAUAAUAGGGCAAGUAGGUGACAUGAUUCUUUUUCUCCUUUUUUUCCAAUUGAGCGUGUCUCUUUUCCCCCUUAUCAGUUUCUCAAAAACAUUCAAACUUUAACCACUCUCCUCUCUCACGAAUUUUGAUCUUUUCUCACUCAAAUUCAUCCAAUUUUACUCCUCUCAUCCACAAAAAUUCAUUAUUUGACUCAUUCCUCUGACAAGGGUUCACAAGGGUUUGCAGGAGAAUUCAUCUAUUUGUUUUGAAUCCUAAAUUUCAUCUCUUUCUUUAUCUUUUCACAAGGUGGCAAGAUUAAUUGUGGAACCGAAUGCAGUGCCUCCCAAUGAUAAUAGACAUAGUUCCAUGAUAAUAGACAUAGUUCUUGAAAAGCUUUACAAGAAACGAGAGAAAGAAAAGAUGAAGCCCGGAUUCGUAAAUGAAGGAAACCUUACCGUACCAUUUGUGUCUUCGGAUUGGAAUUUGAUGUUUCAUCUCCUGCAAGUUGACAUCAUAAUAUUGUCCCGCGUGCCUCUGGUGGUUGGAGUCUCUUUGGAAUUUUUUAGAUUGACUUUGUUUUGUGGUUUUUUAGUGCCUGUUGUGUGUAACCUGGUAUUUUUGCAGAUUCUGUAUCUUUUCUCUCCUUUAGUAUCUCUUGAGCUUAAGGAUGAAUCAUUAAUAUAUUAGUUGAUUCAAAAUUCAAGUUGACCGGAUGAACAGGCUUACCAAAUUUCAAUUUAUCCACUCUAUAUUUCAAUUUGA